rnacentral:rRNA from 1 species
UGUAAGCGCAGCGAUGCGUUGAGCUAACCGGUACUAAUGAACCGUGCGGCUUAACCUUACAACGCCGAAG